CCUGGCUCACGAUGAACGCUAGCUACAGGCUUAACACAUGCAAGUCGAGGGGCAGCAUGGUCUUAGCUUGCUAAGGCCGAUGGCGACCGGCGCACGGGUGAGUAACACGUAUCCAACCUGCCGUCUACUCUUGGACAGCCUUCUGAAAGGAAGAUUAAUACAAGAUGGCAUCAUGAGUCCGCAUGUUCACAUGAUUAAAGGUAUUCCGGUAGACGAUGGGGAUGCGUUCCAUUAGAUAGUAGGCGGGGUAACGGCCCACCUAGUCUUCGAUGGAUAGGGGUUCUGAGAGGAAGGUCCCCCACAUUGGAACUGAGACACGGUCCAAACUCCUACGGGAGGCAGCAGUGAGGAAUAUUGAUCAAUGGGCGAGAGCCUGAACCAGCCAAGUAGCGUGAAGGAUGACUGCCCUAUGGGUUGUAAACUUCUUUUAUAAAGGAAUAAAGUCGGGUAUGGAUACCCGUUUGCAUGGACUUUAUGAAUAAGGAUCGGCUAACUCCGUGCCAGCAGCCGCGGUAAUACGGAGGACCCGAGCGUAUCCGGAUUUAUUGGGUUUAAAGGGAGCGUAGAUGGAUGUUUAAGUCAGUUGUGAAAGUUUGCGGGUCAACCGUAAAAUUGCAGUUGAUACUGGAUAUCUUGAGUGCAGUUGAGGCAGGCGGAAUUCGUGGUGUAGCGGUGAAAUGCUUAGAUAUCACGAAGACCUCCGAUUGCGAAGGCAGCCUGCUAAGCUGCAACUGACAUUGAGGCUCGAAAGUGUGGGUAUCAAACAGGAUUAGAUACCCUGGUAGUCCACACGGUAAACGAUGAAUACUCGCUGUUUGCGAUAUACUGCAAGCGGCCAAGCGAAAGCGUUAAGUAUUCCACCUGGGGAGUACGCCGGCAACGGUGAAACUCAAAGGAAUUGACGGGGGCCCGCACAAGCGGAGGAACAUGUGGUUUAAUUCGAUGAUACGCGAGGAACCUUACCCGGGCUUAAAUUGCAGAUGAAUUACGGUGAAAGCCGUAAGCCGCAAGGCAUCUGUGAAGGUGCUGCAUGGUUGUCGUCAGCUCGUGCCGUGAGGUGUCGGCUUAAGUGCCAUAACGAGCGCAACCCUUGUUGUCAGUUACUAACAGGUUCCGCUGAGGACUCUGACAAGACUGCCAUCGUAAGAUGUGAGGAAGGUGGGGAUGACGUCAAAUCAGCACGGCCCUUACGUCCGGGGCUACACACGUGUUACAAUGGGGGGUACAGAGGGCCGCUACCACGCGAGUGGAUGCCAAUCCCCAAAACCUCUCUCAGUUCGGACUGGAGUCUGCAACCCGACUCCACGAAGCUGGAUUCGCUAGUAAUCGCGCAUCAGCCACGGCGCGGUGAAUACGUUCCCGGGCCUUGUACACACCGCC
rnacentral:rRNA from 1 species